rnacentral:rRNA from 1 species
UACAGAGGGGCAAGCGUUGUUCGGAAUUACUGGGCGUAAAGGGCGCGUAGGCGGCCUGCUAAGUCGAACGUGAAAUCCCCGGGCUCAACCUGGGAACUGCAUCCGGGACUGCAUUGCUAGAGUAUGGGAGAGGGAGCGGAAUUUCUGGUGUAGCAGUGAAAUGCGUAGAGAUCAGGAAGAACACCGGUGGCGAAAGCGCUCUGCUAGGCCGCAACUGACACUCAUGGACGAAAGCUAGGGGAGCGAAUGGG